UACGUAGGUAGCAAGCGUUAUUCGGAUUUACUGGGCGUAAAGGGUCCGCAGGGGGUCUGCCAAGUCCGGCGUGAAAGCCCACGGCUCAACUGUGGAACGGCGCUGGAAACUGGCGGGCUGGAGUGCAUGAGGGGUGAGCAGAAUUCCUGGUGUAGCGGUGGAAUGCGCAGAUAUCAGGAGGAAUACCGAUGGCGAAGGCGGCUCACUGGCGUGCAACUGACCCUCAGGGACGAAAGCGUGGGGAGCAAACAGGAUUAGAUACCCUGGUAGUCCACGCUGUAAACGGUGCGCAUUCGAUGCGGGUGGAGCUUUGAUCCCAUCCGUGUCUGAGCUAACGCGUUAAAUGCGCCGCCUGGGGACUACGGCCGCAAGGCUA
rnacentral:rRNA from 1 species